AAAUUGAAGAGUUUGAUCAUGGCUCAGAUUGAACGCUGGCGGCAGGCCUAACACAUGCAAGUCGAACGGUAACAGGAAGAAGCUUGCUUCUUUGCUGACGAGUGGCGGACGGGUGAGUAAUGUCUGGGAAACUGCCUGAUGGAGGGGGAUAACUACUGGAAACGGUAGCUAAUACCGCAUAACGUCGCAAGACCAAAGAGGGGGACCUUCGGGCCUCUUGCCAUCGGAUGUGCCCAGAUGGGAUUAGCUAGUAGGUGGGGUAACGGCUCACCUAGGCGACGAUCCCUAGCUGGUCUGAGAGGAUGACCAGCCACACUGGAACUGAGACACGGUCCAGACUCCUACGGGAGGCAGCAGUGGGGAAUAUUGCACAAUGGGCGCAAGCCUGAUGCAGCCAUGCCGCGUGUAUGAAGAAGGCCUUCGGGUUGUAAAGUACUUUCAGCGGGGAGGAAGGGAGUAAAGUUAAUACCUUUGCUCAUUGACGUUACCCGCAGAAGAAGCACCGGCUAACUCCGUGCCAGCAGCCNCGGUAAUACGGAGGGUGCAAGCGUUAAUCGGAAUUACUGGGCGUAAAGCGCACGCAGGCGGUUUGUUAAGUCAGAUGUGAAAUCCCCGGGCUCAACCUGGGAACUGCAUCUGAUACUGGCAAGCUUGAGUCUCGUAGAGGGGGGUAGAAUUCCAGGUGUAGCGGUGAAAUGCGUAGAGAUCUGGAGGAAUACCGGUGGCGAAGGCGGCCCCCUGGACGAAGACUGACGCUCAGGUGCGAAAGCGUGGGGAGCAAACAGGAUUAGAUACCCUGGUAGUCCACGCCGUAAACGAUGUCGACUUGGAGGUUGUGCCCUUGAGGCGUGGCUUCCGGAGCUAACGCGUUAAGUCGACCGCCUGGGGAGUACGGCCGCAAGGUUAAAACUCAAAUGAAUUGACGGGGGCCCGCACAAGCGGUGGAGCAUGUGGUUUAAUUCGAUGCAACGCGAAGAACCUUACCUGGUCUUGACAUCCACGGAAGUUUUCAGAGAUGAGAAUGUGCCUUCGGGAACCGUGAGACAGGUGCUGCAUGGCUGUCGUCAGCUCGUGUUGUGAAAUGUUGGGUUAAGUCCCGCAACGAGCGCAACCCUUAUCCUUUGUUGCCAGCGGUCCGGCCGGGAACUCAAAGGAGACUGCCAGUGAUAAACUGGAGGAAGGUGGGGAUGACGUCAAGUCAUCAUGGCCCUUACGACCAGGGCUACACACGUGCUACAAUGGCGCAUACAAAGAGAAGCGACCUCGCGAGAGCAAGCGGACCUCAUAAAGUGCGUCGUAGUCCGGAUUGGAGUCUGCAACUCGACUCCAUGAAGUCGGAAUCGCUAGUAAUCGUGGAUCAGAAUGCCACGGUGAAUACGUUCCCGGGCCUUGUACACACCGCCCGUCACACCAUGGGAGUGGGUUGCAAAAGAAGUAGGUAGCUUAACCUUCGGGAGGGCGCUUACCACUUUGUGAUUCAUGACUGGGGUGAAGUCGUAACAAGGUAACCGUAGGGGAACCUGCGGUUGGAUCA
rnacentral:rRNA from 1 species